CUCUCGUCUAGCUUAUUUUAAAGCAUUAGUUUGAAGAGCUGGGGAAAUAGUUAUUUUAUGGGGGAGG
rnacentral:tRNA from 1 species